AGUGAACGCUGGCGGUAGGCCUAACACAUGCAAGUCGAACGGCAGCACAGUAAGAGCUUGCUCUUACGGGUGGCGAGUGGCGGACGGGUGAGGAAUACAUCGGAAUCUACUUUUUCGUGGGGGGUAACGUAGGGCCACUUACGCUAAUACCGCAUACGACCUACGGGUGAAAGCAGGGGAUCUUCGGACCUUGCGCGAUUGAAUGAGCCGAUGUCGGAUUAGCUAGUUGGCGGGGUAAAGGCCCACCAAGGCGACGAUCCGUAGCUGGUCUGAGAGGAUGAUCAGCCACACUGGAACUGAGACACGGUCCAGACUCCUACGGGAGGCAGCAGUGGGGAAUAUUGGACAAAGGGCGCAAGCCUGAUCCAGCCAUACCGCGUGGGUGAAGAAGGCCUUCGGGUUGUAAAGCCCUUUUGUUGGGAAAGAAAAGCAGCAGGUUAAUACCCCGCUGUUCUGACGGUACCCAAAGAAUAAGCACCGGCUAACUUCGUG
rnacentral:rRNA from 1 species